rnacentral:lncRNA from 1 species
AUGAAAACAACGAUCGGAAGAAUCAUUAGGGCUUUUGCAGAAAUGGAGAAGAUUAGAAGAGCAUCUCACGCUGGUCCAUAGUACACCGACAAUUGUAAGCACCCAAAUUUCGCCCAAUGUUUUUUGCUAGUAACAUUUUUUUUUUUUUCGAAUUUAGAUUGAUCUUUGCUUCUCCAAGUUUCAUACUUUAUUGUAAUUCGAUUUAACUCGAAAUCUCGAGUGUGGUGGUAAUUAACUAUGCUCAAAAUCGUUUACUCAGCACCCCAAAAAGACUAAUCUUGAAGGUUCUUGUUGAAAGGAUUAGUUUUUCUUUUCUUUUCUUUUUAUUUUGAUGCAAUGUUAAAAGGAAAGCAUUCUAAUUGUUUUAUAUUCACAUCCUUCAUCCUUGCAGAUGAUAACUGAAGAGUGGAAAAGGAAGAAAGAAAAUAAAUCUCUUUGAAUUGGUGUAAUCACAUGAAUAUCAGAGGAAUGAAUGCAUGACCCCUCAGAAUUCAAUGAUUAUCAUCUGAAUAAAGAUAUUUGAUGAGUAUUCUGAUAUUCUCAGUGAUAUAUAUUAGCAGUACAAAAAUCUUUCUGGUGAAUCUUGGAUGUCUUAGGUCCUCAAAUAUAUUUUUCGCCUAGUUUAAUUUAUUUUUAUACUAUAGGUGUUUUCUGUUGUUAUUUAUAGACAAUGUUGAAGUAUGAAGUGGAGAAAUCUAUUAAUUUAAUGAGAUUAUUGUUUCUUAUUGUUUUGUUGUCGUUUGAGAGUGCGCUUUUAUUGCUCAGAGCCUACCCCUGCUAAGUUAACGUCAAUGUUUUGAUUUGUUUUGUUUAGGUUGUUUUCUUCACAAACUCGGGAUGGAGGCAAAUGAGCUGGCUUUAAUGAUGGAUUGAUUGUAAACGGGCUGUCAUGAUGUAAUUUCAAUCAGGAACGGGUAUCAUGGCAAUGCAGCUGGGACAAUGGGUGUCACUGCUUAAAGUAGCUACAAAUUCAAUGUUGUCCAGAAUCCGAACCAAUACAGAGGUGACUUUGGGUCUGAUGGAUUGAAGUAUGCAAGAGAUGUUGAUGAUAUAAUUACUUAUGGAACAUCUGGUCGUGUUGCUGCCUAUAUUUGUGAAGCCUUACAGGUUGUUAUUUGAUGCAAUUGUGCACAGUUUGAUGCUUGCAUUUUAUUUAAAUGAUUGCCAAUUUUUUUCCUAGUUUUUUAUGCUUACAAAAUUCAAUUUUUAUAUGGAGUGGGUGGGAUUAUGGAGUUGGCUCCUCGAUCUUUGCCGGCAGUCUAUAGCACCAUUAGAAAGGCAGGGGGUGUUUGCGCUGAUGAGGUCGAAUCAGGUUUUGCUCGUACGGGACCCAUUUUUGGGGAUUUGAUGCCCAUGGUGUUGUGCCUGAUAUCGUAAAUGGCCAAAGUAGAAGCUACCUUAGCGUAACUCUUGUUCUAAAACUACCAGAUAAUUUGCUUAAAUUCUAAGACUUAUUAGCUUUAUUUUGGAGAUGCGAGCUACUCUUAUCCCAUUAUAUUGUGAUACUUUUGUUCUAAUUUCAAGUGAAUGAUGGAGUGUUCAAAAAAAAAAAAAAAAAAAAAAAAAA